GAGGUACACAGUUUCUUGCUUCUGUACACCAUAAUUCUUGUUUUUCGCUUCCAAAUUAUGCAAAAUGUUGUUAAGACAGAUUGUAAAUAUGUAAAACAUUCAAAUUUGAUGUCUUUCAGACUGGGUUAUUUUUGAAAAGGCUCUUUCAAGAAAAUGAUGUCAAACGUGAAGAUUUGUUGAUUACCCCUCUAAGCUCUGGUUGCAGAGUAAACCAACAGUUAACUACUCUGAGGAUCAUUGUCAAAACCGGGUAAAGAUGAUGAUGACUUAAGUUUGUAAAUGACGCUUUGUUGAGUCACAAAAGCAACACAGAAAAGAGUCGGGGAUUGUGUGCUGCUUUCAGAAAGCAAGAAUACAGGAACAUCAUAAAGCCCCCACACAUAUGUAAUGAUGUUUGUUGAUUGUUGAAUGCUAUGUCUUUG